rnacentral:lncRNA from 1 species
GUUUAAGAGAUGUUGAUCGUUGCAUAAAAUUGGUUUUAUGGUUUUACACAUUUCUAGCAAAGAAAAAUGUUAAAAUGCGAGAAAAGGAUCGUGUAAUCCAAUCUAUUAUUUUAGGAACGGCUAUUUGUUAUCACAGUAGAUUUUCACAUGGAUCAACAAGACGGAAUUAUCGUACACUGUUAGGAAAGUGUAUAUCUUCUAUCAUGCCCUAUCGAAUAUCUGAGAAAACUGUUUUAGACGUAAUCUUGAAUGAACAAAAAGAUAUCCUUGAUAGAAUGACGGA